GUAGCCUGAUGGUCGUACCUAAGUAGUAUAAGUUCAUGCACCUUAGGGCUGUUAUCGCUUUAGAUACAACAUGAUUUGACUUUGACAUGAAUGAUAAUGAUAGAGACAACUCACCAAUGGAGAGCUUUGUACGUGUCAAGCACACAUUGGUUUUCUAGCUCUAUAAAUACGGGUCAUCCUCCAACAGGUGAUCAGAUUCUCGCCUAGCUCUUAUCAUGUCCUAGUAGU
rnacentral:misc_RNA from 1 species